rnacentral:lncRNA from 1 species
GAGGAAGUCUUGGAAACAUUAGUUACAGCCUGAUAGUAGCAGGUUGCUUCCCAGUUUCGAGUUAAGGUAUUGUUAGCGGUGGGUUCAAUCCCGAGUUAGUAGUUGGGGAGUUACAGACAGGAAAGGCUGCCUUGGUGCUAAAGUAAGUAAGCCUGAGAUGUAGUAAAGUAAGCCCGAGAGCCAGUAGAGCAGGGUUUGGUUAAACUCAUAUUGCAUUAAGCCUUAUAGUAAUGAGUUGCAAGCCUAUUUCGAGUAUAAAGGUGCUAAUUGCUUAGUUUGAUUCCUUCUGGUAUUGUUUUGAUUCUUGUAGUUAGCAGUGGUAGACUCAAAGCAAAGAAAGUCAGGCCGGUAGCCAAGUAAGUAAAAGACUAUGGAUGGAGGGGCCCCCGAGGCGGGGGUUUUCAAACAAGUAAAGUCAGCCUAAAAGCAAGGUAGGACAGGCUUUUUCUCAGUAUAAGAAUCAAGGAAAGGGGAUGGUUUAGAAAGCAAAGAUUAGAAGCGAGCACUAUCCUAAACAGUAUGUAAACAACCUAACCAUUGGAUAUUUAAAGGCUGUGUGAGAAGCUAAGAAAAUGGGGCCUGUGCGUCGUUUGUCUUAACGAUAGAUGGAUAGCGCCUCUUUGAUCACUCUCUUGAUAGUGAGCCAAUGCCAACCCACUGUUUUUUGAAUCAUGAGUCUUGGGUAUCCGAACGAGAAAGAGGGCAUAGGGAAAAUAGUGGCUAACCCAUGGUCGGGUCCGUUGAAGAUAGUAGCGAAGCAGAGUAGCUCACCUGUAGGGAGAACCCUCAAAUAAGACUGGAAGUUGGUACCCUUAUAUCUAGUCUUGAAAGUGGGUACCCUUCUAUCUAGUAUAACAGACUCCGGAGAAGGUCAAAGUCUGAGGUGGGUACUCAUGAGAAAAUAGUCUCCGUCCCUUUCUUUUAUUUAUGAAAUAUGAAACACAAAAAAUAUAUAGUCAAAAGGUGUCCAAGAAGGAAGAAAGUAGAAUAUACAGAACAAGGGAAGGAGUGCCUAGGCACGAAACGAAUGAUGAGCUAACUGGCUGAAACCUGCCCACUCAGACAUAUGAGGAGUGCGCCGAGCCCUGACCCCUCUUGCUGCUGAAAGCUACCGAUCACUCUAUAUGAGGGAUUUCUCAUUCUUUACUUCAUACUCUCCCUACAGCCUCCCUACAGCUAAAGUCAAGUCUCAAAAGUGCAGUAUGGAGCCGUAAAGUAGACAAGUCAAGUAUGGAGCGUAAAGUAAAGUAUCAAAAGUCAGGAGUCAGCAGUCAGGAGUUAACCAAGCAACGGAACAAUAAAUCAUAGGAAGCAAAGCAGUGAGAUUUGGAGGUGCAUUAUUUCUAUACUCGUUAAGUCAUUGAACUACACUUGAAGAAUCGACCUCGAAUAGCAACAUAGAUAAACAGAAUGAAACUACUAUGGAAGGUAGAAAACAGAGAGGCUAUGCUAUAUAUAAGAUAGUCAUUUCCACAUGUGUUCUCUUCAACAAGAGCAAGGAAGGGCGAAAGUAGAAACUAUAGAUGCAACUAAGCGUCGGACCUACUACUGUUCCCCGACUAUAUUGCUCGCGUAUCUAGUAAAGUCUCUGGUAGUUCAAUCCCAGGUAAGCGAAGCAAUACUGUUAGGUUCAUUUCUUCAAUAAGUGUUUCACUCUCAGAUUUGAUGUCUUUUGCACUCAAUGAAACAAGUUGAACUCGCACUCAGCACCCCCAACUCGCUCACUUAUCCCGCUACAAGAAUUCUUUCCGUUGCUAGCUUAGCUUGUUCAUUACUAGAGUUUCUCGCUAAUACAUGAUUUCCCGUUCACCCGAACUCUUGCGCUGUUGCUUGUUCCCUGACUCGCGUUAGGAGCUUAACUCACAACUCACUCUAUUCUGCCUUACGAAGGCUACUGCUACGCCCCUUCCCUUCGGGUCAAGAUCUUAACUCACUUGUUAGUGCAAAAGAAUAGAAAACAACCAAUAGAGUCAACAACCAUAUCCUUUCUUUCAACGUUCAAGAGAUACCUAUAAUAUCUAAUAAAGAAAUACCUUUGAGGCUCUUAGCCCCUUGCUUGUUCUGUUACUUGCUUGAGCGGGACAAUAACUUCAAGCUUUCGAUUUUGUCCAUUCUAUUCUUGUGUACUCAAUGCACCAUCCUUAAAGCGGUUUAGUGACAUAGGUAUUCCUUACUUAAUUAGUUCACGCCCACUAAGGCAAGGAGAACGAGCAAGGAAGUAAGCUUAGGCUAUAAAGCAAAGAAUGGAGUUAACCCUUAACUACUAUAAGGACAGAGGAGAGAGGGAAUAAAUAAGCAAUGGAAGAGCGCAAUGAAUGAGAUCAUAGGAAGAGAACACAAACAAAGCAAAGAAUCAUAUAAUAGGUAAGAGAGCACAAAGCAAAGAAGAAGAUAAGUGAAAGCGUAUGGUGUGAACGAACGGCUAUAUUCUCUUCUUUCUUCUCAAGAGCAAGGAGUUAUUCUAAAGGAUAGGUCAGGGUUGAGUUAGCCCGUUAGCUUUGUAGAAAAGGAAGCAAUCCGCGGAUAAAGAGUGAUAGGUGAAGCAACGGAAUUAGUCACACUAGCUACAAGCAAUGGAACAGCGUCUCAAUUCUAUUAUUCCUCUAUUUCUUUUGCUGCCUUCCAUUCCACAAGCUUUAGUGCCGGUCUUUGUUUACUCUUGGGAACACGCCGGGCAAUCAAUAAGUUAGGAAAGGUGCGCGAGCAGAGUUUUGUUACCGCUACGUAGGCUCCUUAUCUACUUUCUCUUUUUUAACUACAGCUAACUUUCCACCGUAUUCCACUACACCUUCUAAAGUCAGGGCGCAAAGAUCAUACUUUAGUCUAUCGUUGGAUGCUGAUAAAUAAGAUUAUGCCGGAAGAGAGAAACAAGCUUUGGGCCGGGCAAUAAGUUAUGAUUAGGAAAGGCUAGAUUUCAUUAUAUUCUUUUGAACAAGCACUAGGGUUAGAGUUCCAGCAACGGUGCAAGAAUAAAUAAGUGAACAGUAUGUAUUGCCUGUUUUCGGCGAGUUGAGAGAAUCCGCAGUUCCAGAAUAAACAAUGCUAGUGUUGUCUCAAGGUGAAGUAGGCCAAGAUAACAAGUGGAUCUCGCCAAAAGUGCCUUAGUGAAGUCCGCCUUUUUAUUGAUUGAUUGGAUUUCUCUGACCCUUGCUCGAACGGCCCUAACUGAUACCUGAAGAAAUACUUAGCGCGUUAGCUUAUUGGAUUUAGGUUUCAGAAUCAAGUCAAGGGUAGCUGAACAGAAGAAUCAGAUAGGUAGCCGACGCAGAAAGGACUUGAGUGGAGGUAGGCAAGGGAGACGGCAACACCGAAGAGGAUAUUCCAUAUAGAAGAGAUUCUUUGAGGGUGUUGACUUUACUUCAUAUUCAUUCUUAUGUAACAUAGGAAUUCGAUUACUACAUUUCAAGAGCAGGAGCAGCAGAUCCAAGACGAUAUGUGAUUAAAGGCUACGGGUUUACGGGCCGGUGUGCUGGGUGGAUGGCUUUUC